CCUACGGGAGGCAGCAGUGGGGAAUAUUGCACAAUGGGGGGAACCCUGAUGCAGCGACGCCGCGUGGGUGAGGAAGUACUUCGGUAUGUAAAGCCCUAUCAGCAGGGAAGAAAAUGACGGUACCUGACUAAGAAUCCCCGGCUAACUACGUGACAGCAGCCGCGGUAAUACGUAGGGGGCAAGCGUUAUCCGGAUUUACUGGGUGUAAAGGGAGCGUAGACGGCGUGCCAAGUCUGGGGUGAAAUGCCGGGGCUCAACCCCGGGACUGCAUUGGAAACUGGCGUUCUUGAGUGAGCGAGAAGUAUGCGGAAUGCGUGGUGUAGCGGUGAAAUGCAUAGAUAUCACGCAGAACUCCGAUUGCGAAGGCAGCAUACCGGCGCUCAACUGACGCUCAUGCACGAAAGCGUGGGUAUCGAACAGGAUUAGAUACCCUUGUAGUC
rnacentral:rRNA from 1 species